GUGCCAGAAGCCUCGGUAAUACGGAGGGGGCUAGCGUUGUUCGGAAUUAUUGGGCGUAAGAGCAUGUAGGCGGCCGAGUGUGUCUGAUGUGAAAGCCCGGGGCUUAACUCCGGAAGUGCAUUGGAAACUGCUUGGCUUGAGUCUCGGAGAGGAUCGCGGAAUUCCUGGUGUAGAGGUGAAAUUCGUAGAUAUCAGGAGGAACACCGGUGGCGAAGGCGGCGAUCUGGACGAAGACUGACGCUGAGAUGCGAAAGCGUGGGGAGCAAACAGGAUUAGAUACCCUGGUAGUCCACGCUGUAAACGAUGGGUGCCAGAUGUCGGGGGUCUUGGACUUCCGGUGUCGAAGUUAACGCGUUAAGCACCCCGCCUGGGGAGUACGGCCGCAAGGUUAAACUCAAAUGAAUUGACGG
rnacentral:rRNA from 1 species